GUUGCAGAAAGAAUUGUCCGCCAGAAUAACUUGUUGUCGGCGUGACGGUAUCCAACCAGAAAGCCACGGCUAACUACGUGCCAGCAGCCGCGGUAAUACGUAGGUGGCAAGCGUUAUCCGGAUUUAUUGGGCGUAAAGCGAGCGCAGGCGGUUUUUUAAGUCUGAUGUGAAAGCCCUCGGCUUAACCGAGGAAGCGCAUCGGAAACUGGGAAACUUGAGUGCAGAAGAGGACAGUGGAACUCCAUGUGUAGCGGUGAAAUGCGUAGAUAUAUGGAAGAACACCAGUGGCGAAGGCGGCUGUCUGGUCUGUAACUGACGCUGAGGCUCGAAAGCAUGGGUAGCGAACAGGAUUAGAUACCCUGGUAGUCCAUGCCGUAAACGAUGAAUGCUAGGUGUUGGAGGGUUUCCGCCCUUCAGUGCCGCAGCUAACGCAUUAAGCAUUCCGCCUGGGGAGUACGACCGCAAGGUUGAAACUCAAAGGAAUUGACGGGGGCCCGCACAAGCGGUGGAGCAUGUGGUUUAAUUCGAAGCAACGCGAAGAACCUUACCAGGUCUUGACAUCUUUUGAUCACCUGAGAGAUCAGGUUUCCCCUUCGGGGGCAAAAUGACAGGUGGUGCAUGGUUGUCGUCAGCUCGUGUCGUGAGAUGUUGGGUUAAGUCCCGCAACGAGCGCAACCCUUAUGACUAGUUGCCAGCAUUUAGUUGGGCACUCUAGUAAGACUGCCGGUGACAAACCGGAGGAAGGUGGGGAUGACGUCAAAUCAUCAUGCCCCUUAUGACCUGGGCUACACACGUGCUACAAUGGAUGGUACAACGAGUUGCGAGACCGCGAGGUCAAGCUAAUCUCUUAAAGCCAUUCUCAGUUCGGACUGUAGGCUGCAACUCGCCUACACGAAGUCGGAAUCGCUAGUAAUCGCGGAUCAGCACGCCGCGGUGAAUACGUUCCCGGGCCUUGUACACACCGCCCGUCACACCAUGAGAGUUUGUAACACCCGAAGCCGGUGGCGUAACCCUUUUAGGAGCGAGCCGUCUAAGGUGGACAACGAUGCG
rnacentral:rRNA from 1 species